GCUUCACUUUUUUUGUUUUUUGGCCCAUUAAAUUCUUAUUUGGCCAAAUUAUAGCCCAUGUGUUCUUCCAUCCUAUUUACAUAGCAGUAAGUUUUGCUCUCUUAACUUCUUAAAUAUUUAACUUCUUUAAAUCUAAUUUAAAUUCCUAUUUAAGAAACGUUUUAGACAAAACAAUCAUUCCUCACACUUUCAUCAAACCCUAGCCGUCCUCUUUACUCCAGAAUCUCUAAAAAUUCAUGGUGCAAUUCAUCCUCCAAGUCUUGUAUUCAUUCGCGUAUUAUUUGGAUCUGUGUCGUCCUAGUUAAAGUAGACUCACGCCUCUACGAUUUUCAUCUUCGUUUUCGCAAAACGACCCGUCGUCUGCUCGUGCUUCGGGGUCUACGCAGGGUUAGCUGUUUGCCAAGAAUCACGUGGAUAAGCAAGCAGUGAGUUUGUAGUGCUAUUUACCGAUUUAUUAAGUACCGUAUCGUAUUUUAAUAUUAUAAAUGCUUUUGAACUGUUUUUACGGAUUAUGAAUCUGGAUUGAAACGAGCUACUCGAUAGGCUUGUAUCGAGACUGUGUGCACCGGUGAGUACUCUGGGAAACGGCAGACUAAAGUCUUGCUUACGCUGGUAUAUAUUUAUGACGAGGAUUUGUUCCCGUCCACUCUGGGUUUAUCAGUAUGCUAUGUCAUACUUACGCUGGGAUCAUUUCAAUACUGUUUUCCAUAAUCAUAUUAUAUUAGUAUAAACUGUUUUGAUUUAAGGGUUUUAAAUUUAAUAA